rnacentral:rRNA from 1 species
UACGGAGGGUGCAAGCGUUGUCCGGAUUUAUUGGGCGUAAAGAGCUCGUAGGCGGUCUGUUGCGUCGGCUGUGAAAACCCGAGGCUCAACCUCGGGCCUGCAGCCGAUACGGGCAGACUAGAGUUCGGCAGGGGAGACUGGAAUUCCUGGUGUAGCGGUGAAAUGCGCAGAUAUCAGGAGGAACACCGGUGGCGAAGGCGGGUCUCUGGGCCGAUACUGACGCUGAGGAGCGAAAGCGUGGGGAGCGAACAGG